rnacentral:rRNA from 1 species
UGGGGGAUAUUGCACAAUGGGCGAAAGCCUGAUGCAGCGACGCCGCGUGGGGGAUGAAGGCUUUCGGGUUGUAAACCUCUUUCGCUAUCGAACAAGGCCCGCUUAGGGUGGGUUGAGGGUAGGCGGAGAAGAAGCGCCGGCUAACUACGUGCCAGCAGCCGCGGUAAUACGUAGGGCGCGAGCGUUGUCCGGAAUUAUUGGGCGUAAAGGGCUUGUAGGCGGCUUGUUGCGCCUGCUGUGAAAACGCGGGGCUUAACUUCGCGCGUGCAGUGGGUACGGGCAGGCUUGAGUGUGGUAGGGGUGACUGGAAUUCCAGGUGUGGCGGUGGAAUGCGCAGAUAUCUGGAGGAACACCGAUGGCGAAGGCAGGUCACUGGGCCAUUACUGACGCUGAGGAGCGAAAGCAUGGGUAGCGAACAGG